AUUCCAUGAUGAUGGCAUUGUCUUAGCAGCUCCUUAAAUCUUUCCUAAGAAUUAAACAAUGAUUCAUCUUCUCGUUAUUUAAAUGAGGAAAUUUCAUUCCUCAUUUU